rnacentral:ncRNA from 1 species
GCCAGACAAAGCCAAACCCGGAGUAAUCCGGGGACGGAAAGCUUCGAGUCCGCAACCGGUAAAGGCGACAAACACAUCGAGCUGCGGAUGGUCGGGUUGCCACA